AGAGUUUGAUCCUGGCUCAGAUUGAACGCUGGCGGCAUGCCUUACACAUGCAAGUCGAACGGCAGCACGGGAGCAAUCCUGGUGGCGAGUGGCGAACGGGUGAGUAAAGUAUCGGAACGUGCCCAGUCGUGGGGGAUAACGUAGCGAAAGCUACGCUAAUACCGCAUACGAUCUAUGGAUGAAAGCGGGGGAUCGCAAGACCUCGCGCGAUUGGAGCGGCCGAUAUCAGAUUAGGUAGUUGGUGGGGUAAAGGCCCACCAAGCCGACGAUCUGUAGCUGGUCUGAGAGGACGACCAGCCACACUGGGACUGAGACACGGCCCAGACUCCUACGGGAGGCAGCAGUGGGGAAUUUUGGACAAUGGGCGCAAGCCUGAUCCAGCAAUGCCGCGUGCAGGAUGAAGGCCUUCGGGUUGUAAACUGCUUUUGUACGGAGCGAAAAGGCUUCCACUAAUACUGGGGGCUCAUGACGGUACCGUAAGAAUAAGCACCGGCUAACUACGUGCCAGCAGCCGCGGUAAUACGUAGGGUGCAAGCGUUAAUCGGAAUUACUGGGCGUAAAGCGUGCGCA
rnacentral:rRNA from 1 species